rnacentral:rRNA from 1 species
UACGGAGGGGGGCUAGCGUUGUUCGGAAUUACUGGGCGUAAAGCGCACGUAGGCGGCUUUGUAAGUUAGAGGUGAAAGCCCAGGGCUUAACCCUGGAAUUGCCUUUAAGACUGAGUGGCUUGAGUACGAGAGAGGUGAGUGGAAUUCCCAGUGUAGAGGUGAAAUUCGUAGAUAUUGGGAAGAACACCGGUGGCGAAGGCGGCUCACUGGCCCGGUACUGACGCUGAGGUGCGAAAGCGUGGGGAGCAAACAGG